rnacentral:rRNA from 1 species
UACAGAGGUCUCAAGCGUUGUUCGGAUUCAUUGGGCGUAAAGGGUGCGUAGGCGGCGCGGUAAGUCGGGUGUGAAAUCUUGGAGCUUAACUCCGAAACUGCAUUCGAUACUGCCGUGCUUGAGGACUGGAGAGGAGACUGGAAUUCACGGUGUAGCAGUGAAAUGCGUAGAUAUCGUGAGGAAGACCAGUGGCGAAGGCGGGUCUCUGGACAGUUCCUGACGCUGAGGCGCGAAGGCCAGGGGAGCAAACGGG